UCAUCCUUUUUGUCAUCCUUCUGAUUCAUCCAUUCCUCUCAAUCUUCUUAUAAAUGCACAUAAAAUUUCACUGCCUUUGUUGUUGAAACAAAACACUAUUCUUGCUCUCUUUUAAUUAAACUUGAGGUAAGGAAAUAAAAAAGAUGGGCAGAUAAAGUAGUUAUUUCAGGAGAUACCUACACAUUAGACUCUAAAGCCUUGGUUCUCAAUAAGGAGCAAUUUUGGCCCCCAGGAGACAUUUGGCAAUAUCUGCACACAUUUUUGGUUGUCAUGACUGGGGGUGGGUGGGUUUCUACGGGAAUCUAGUGACUAGAGGCCACAGAGGCUACAAACUAUUUCACAAUGCACACAGGACAGCUUCUGACCACAAAGAAUUAUCUGAUUCAAAGUGCCAGAAUUGAGAAACACUGCUCUAAAGGAAUACUUAAAAUUGUGAGUACACAUUUUAAAAUAAUGAAACAUAUUAAGUUUAUAAAAUAGGAUUGAGAAAAAUAUGGAUUUACUUAUGCCUACAGCAUGGACUUUACUUUUGACCCGCAAAGUUUGUUUUACGUUGAUGAAUAGCCUGAUGAUAUUUCAUUGUAGUCAGUGUCUUCAUCUACUUGGGCUGCUAUAACAAAAAUGCCAAGGACUGGGUGGCUUAAACAACAGACAUUUAUUUCUCAUAGUUCUGGGGUCUGGGAAGUCCAAAAUCAAGGUGCCAGCAGAUUCAGUCAUAAGUAUGAGACCCUACCUCCAAAUACCUAUACAUUGGGGAUUAGGAUUUCAACAUAUGAAUUUUGGGGGGAAGUAAACAUUCAGCCCAUAACAGUCAACAAAAUAAAUCUGCUUUAAAUCUAGACAAGGACAGACAGUAUCAUAAUUUCAGUGGAAAAAAAAUCUGUAAAUUACAUUAAAUAAGCUUAUUGAAAAAAAUCUCUUUCAAGUGUUAGCACUAUGCUGUUACACUUCAUAAUCCACAUCUCCAUUUUCUUUACACAUGUCCUUGCAUCAUUGAAGGUGUUACGAUACAGAGGAAGAACUUGGCCCGGGAGGCAGAAAACCUGGGCUGCAGUCUGGACUGGGCUAAGCACGUUAAGGUUUUUAGUACAACUGACGUCUUAGAAGGCCCUUCCUUUCCAGGGAAUUCACUAAUCAAGGCAGCCAUUGUAUAGACUUUAUGGACGUGAUUCGUUUCGGUGUUGGUCUUCCCCGGUGGACAGUGAUGGGCUUCACAGGAGGGAAGUGUCUUCAUUUUCACAUCCCCAGUGCCUGGCACAAAGCAGGUACUCAGCAAAGGGUGGUGUGUCAGGUUGAUUUUGUCAGUCACUCCUGACCUCUCACCCUACGGUGGAUGCAUGUUGGUUUGUCACUGUCCCUCUUUAGAAGUGAUCCCAGGAUGAAAAAAACGUUUUCCAGAUUUUAGCCCUUCAGGGUACAGAGUGCCCAUCGGCUCUGGAAACCAGGUUUUCCUCGGCUUUCACUUUCUAAUCUAAAUGUAAGCCUUUAUUUGUAUCCCUGAUAAAUGUAAUCUUGUUUCCUGCAGGAAAAGAUAACUUCAUCUUGUCAGGCCAAAAUGAAAAAUCUCAGUUUUAAUUCUGUCAUAUCUACUCUAUCAACCAGUUUGAUGUCAUCGGUGUAUGGGAGGAUAAUGUGAA